AAUGUAUGAACGCUCAAUAUAUAUAAAUCACAGUACAAUCUCUUUUCUGACAAUUAUACGGUAAAGAUAUUCUGAUCUGAUUGACCACACCAUACGCCAUUCACAUACCACUACAUUCGAACUUCGCAAUAUGGCAUCAGGCGACGUCGAUUUAAUGGAGGCUCCCGUAAAACACCUUACAUCUAUCAAAAAAGAAAGAGCAAGAUUUUAUGGCGCAGUAUUCCUACCUGAUGGGAAACUUCUUGUUUCUGAUAAGGCAAAUUGUCGUUUGCUUCUUUUUGAAGAUGACUUCUUUUACAUCCAAGAAUUCAAACUCCCUGAUGCGCCAUAUGACAUCGCAAUAGGAUCAAAUCAAAAGCUAUAUGUCCUGAUGUUCAAAAACAAACUUUUAAAAUGUGAAAUUGAUGGUGAUGACUUUAACAUUCUAGAAACAUAUGAUGUCGCUAGUGGAACCGUUUCAAUCGAAACCUACAAUGACCAGCUGGUCACGUGCUGCACCGAAGCCGUAAAGAUAUUGGACCUAGAUGGAAAAGAAAUUCAAUCAUUCAAGAAAUCUAAUUGUAAAACGGAGUUGUUGGUGUCAACCAAGCUGAAGAGGUUUUACCUUAUAACUGACCAUGGCGAAGUCAGUGGACGGAAACUCUCCGAUGGAAACGAAGUGUUUAAUUUCUCAAAUGCCGCUUUGACCAGCAUAUCCUCUAUUGCUCUCGAUCGCAACGACAACGUAUAUGCAACAAGUUACGACUCAAGAAAGCUUUUUCAAAUUUCGAAAAAUCGUCGAAAACAUAGAGUUCUCCUGGAAAAAUUUGAGAAAGUCAAUAAGCCGGACACAAUAGUGUUCCAUCCUUCGAAGGAUAUGUUCAUAAUUUUUGCUUCAGAAGACUUUGAUGUCUAUCAGUUUUGAAUGUUUUUCCAAUGUCUUUACUCAUAUGAUUGCAAUGCAAUGAUUUAUAUAUUCUCUUACUGAGAGUUAAAAUGGUUUUAAACAAGUAUAUUACCUAUCGAAAUGUAUAUAAAUAUAGAUAUUGGCAGCAGCUGUUUAAAUAAACACGUGUAACACAUUUUUGUGUGCUAAAUGCG